rnacentral:rRNA from 1 species
CGUGAAACCGUUCAGGGGUAAACCUGAGAAACCCAAAAGAUCGAAUGGGGAGAUUCAUCGACGACGAAGCUGGCUCCCGUUUGCGUGUGAUUUCCACGGUGGGACCACGGUACCCAGAACGUGGGUAACACCCCUUCGGCGAAUAACCGGCGACGUAGUCGUGCACUUCUCCCUUAGUAGAACGUCGCGACCCGUUGUGUGUCGGUCUACGGCCUGGGCUAUUUGGCUGUCGCGGUGGCAUUACGUCGCUCGCGGCAGAGGCUCGGUCGCCCGGCCGGCUGCACGACGGUACUCCGACGGUAUCGGGCCGCAACCAAUCCAUUCUCGAAUGGUAUAUGCGUCCAGGCCCGUCGCAAGCUCGGACAGCACCCGGAGCGUGUGGACGCAGCGCCCUCCCCGGGUYUGGCCAGCUG